CGAAGAACCUUACCUACUCUUGACAUCCAGAGAACUUGGCAGAGAUGCCUUGGUGCCUUCGGGAGCUCUGAGACAGGUGCUGCAUGGCUGUCGUCAGCUCGUGUUGUGAAAUGUUGGGUUAAGUCCCGCAACGAGCGCAACCCUUAUCCUUUGUUGCCAGCACGUCAUGGUGGGAACUCAAAGGAGACUGCCGGUGAUAAACCGGAGGAAGGUGGGGAUGACGUCAAGUCAUCAUGGCCCUUACGAGUAGGGCUACACACGUGCUACAAUGGCGCAUACAAAGAGAAGCGAACUUGCGAGAGUAAGCGGACCUCAUAAAGUGCGUCGUAGUCCGGAUUGGAGUCUGCAACUCGACUCCAUGAAGUCGGAAUCGCUAGUAAUCGUAGAUCAGAAUGCUACGGUGAAUACGUUCCCGGGCCUUGUACACACCGCCCGUCACACCAUGGGAGUGGGUUGCAAAAGAAGUAGGUAGCUUAACCUUCGGGAGGGCGCUUACCACUUUGUGAUUCAUGACUGGGGUGAAGUCGUAACAAGGUAACCGUAGGGGAACCUGCGGUUGGAUCACCUCCUUACC
rnacentral:rRNA from 1 species